rnacentral:tRNA from 1 species
UACAUCGGCCGGGAAUCGAACCCGGGGCCCGCUUGGCAGGCGAGUAUUCUACCACUGAACCAAAAGC